UACGUAGGUGGCGAGCGUUGUCCGGAUUUACUGGGCGUAAAGCGCGCGCAGGCGGCAGUCUAAGUCCUCUGUCGAAAUCACCCGGGCUCAACUGGGUGGCUGCGGAGGAGACUGGGCAGCUUGAGGGGCCUAGAGGCCGGUGGAACUCCCGGUGUAGUGGUGAAAUGCGUAGAGAUCGGGAAGAACACCAGUGGCGAAGGCGGCCGGCUGGGGGCGCCCUGACGCUGAGGCGCGAGAGCGUGGGGAGCAACCGGG
rnacentral:rRNA from 1 species